rnacentral:rRNA from 1 species
GAUGAACGCUGGCGGCGUGCUUAACACAUGCAAGUCGAACGGUGAACCCGGAGCUUGCUCUGUGGGAUCAGUGGCGAACGGGUGAGUAACACGUGAGCAACCUGCCCCUGACUCUGGGAUAAGCGCUGGAAACGGCGUCUAAUACUGGAUAUGUGACGUGACCGCAUGGUCUGCGUUUGGAAAGAUUUUUCGGUUGGGGAUGGGCUCGCGGCCUAUCAGCUUGUUGGUGAGGUAAUGGCUCACCAAGGCGUCGACGGGUAGCCGGCCUGAGAGGGUGACCGGCCACACUGGGACUGAGACACGGCCCAGACUCCUACGGGAGGCAGCAGUGGGGAAUAUUGCACAAUGGGCGCAAGCCUGAUGCAGCAACGCCGCGUGAGGGAUGACGGCCUUCGGGUUGUAAACCUCUUUUAGCAGGGAAGAAGCGAAAGUGACGGUACCUGCAGAAAAAGCGCCGGCUAACUACGCG